rnacentral:rRNA from 1 species
CCCGCUCGCCGGAAGACCAAGGGUUCCUGUCCAACGUUAAUCGGGGCAGGGUGAGUCGACCCCUAAGGCGAGGCCGAAAGGCGUAGUCGAUGGGAAACGGGUUAAUAUUCCCGUACUUGGUGUUACUGCGAAGGGGGGACGGAGAAGGCUAUGUUGGCCGGGCGACGGUUGUCCCGGUUUAAGCGUAUAGGUGUGUGUUCCAGGUAAAUCCGGUUCACUUUAACACUGAGGCGUGAUGACGAGGCGCUACGGUGCUGAAGCAACAAAUGCCCUGCUUCCAGGAAAAGCCUCUAAGCAUCAGGUAACAUCAAAUCGUACCCCAAACCGACACAGGUGGUCAGGUAGAGAAUACCAAGGCGCUUGAGAGAACUCGGGUGAAGGAACUAGGCAAAAUGGUGCCGUAACUUCGGGAGAAGGCACGCUGACAUGUAGGUGAAGUGAUUUACUCAUGGAGCUGAAGUCAGUCGAAGAUACCAGCUGGCUGCAACUGUUUAUUAAAAACACAGCACUGUGCAAACACGAAAGUGGACGUAUACGGUGUGACGCCUGCCCGGUGCCGGAAGGUUAAUUGAUGGGGUCAGCGCAAGCGAAGCUCCUGAUCGAAGCCCCGGUAAACGGCGGCCGUAACUAUAACGGUCCUAAGGUAGCGAAAUUCCUUGUCGGGUAAGUUCCGACCUGCACGAAUGGCGUAAUGAUGGCCAGGCUGUCUCCACCCGAGACUCAGUGAAAUUGAACUCGCUGUGAAGAUGCAGUGUACCCGCGGCAAGACGGAAAGACCCCGUGAACCUUUACUAUAGCUUGACACUGAACAUUGAGCCUUGAUGUGUAGGAUAGGUGGGAGGCUUUGAAGUGUGGACGCCAGUCUGCAUGGAGCCGACCUUGAAAUACCACCCUUUAAUGUUUGAUGUUCUAACGUGGACCCGUAAUCCGGGUUGCGGACAGUGUCUGGUGGGUAGUUUGACUGGGGCGGUCUCCUCCUAAAGAGUAACGGAGGAGCACGAAGGUUGGCUAAUCCUGGUCGGACAUCAGGAGGUUAGUGCAAUGGCAUAAGCCAGCUUGACUGCGAGCGUGACGGCGCGAGCAGGUGCGAAAGCAGGUCAUAGUGAUCCGGUGGUUCUGAAUGGAAGGGCCAUCGCUCAACGGAUAAAAGGUACUCCGGGGAUAACAGGCUGAUACCGCCCAAGAGUUCAUAUCGACGGCGGUGUUUGGCACCUCGAUGUCGGCUCAUCACAUCCUGGGGCUGAAGUAGGUCCCAAGGGUAUGGCUGUUCGCCAUUUAAAGUGGUACGCGAGCUGGGUUUAGAACGUCGUGAGACAGUUCGGUCCCUAUCUGCCGUGGGCGCUGGAGAACUGAGGGGGGCUGCUCCUAGUACGAGAGGACCGGAGUGGACGCAUCACUGGUGUUCGGGUUGUCAUGCCAAUGGCACUGCCCGGUAGCUAAAUGCGGAAGAGAUAAGUGCUGAAAGCAUCUAAGCACGAAACUUGCCCCGA